rnacentral:rRNA from 1 species
AGAGUUUGAUCCUGGCUCAGGAUGAACGCUAGCGGGAGGCUUAACACAUGCAAGUCGAGGGGUAACGAUUGGGAUUUCGGUUCUGAGGCGACGACCGGCGAACGGGUGAGUAACGCGUAUGCAACCUGCCUUUUACAGGAGAAUAGGUUUCGGAAACGGAAAUUAAUGCUCCAUAACGCUGCACUAUGGCAUCAUAGAGCAGUUAAAACUCAGGUGGUAAAAGAUGGGCAUGCGUAACAUUAGCUAGUUGGUAAGGUAACGGCUUACCAAGGCAACGAUGUUUAGGGGACCUGAGAGGGUGAUCCCCCACACUGGUACUGAGACACGGACCAGACUCCUACGGGAGGCAGCAGUGAGGAAUAUUGGUCAAUGGGCGCAAGCCUGAACCAGCCAUCCCGCGUGCAGGAAGACGGCCCUAUGGGUUGUAAACUGCUUUUCUGACGGAAGAAUAAUCGCUACGUGUAGCGAGACGACGGUACUUCAGGAAUAAGCAUCGGCUAACUCCGUGCCAGCAGCCGCGGUAAUACGGAGGAUGCAAGCGUUAUCCGGAUUCAUUGGGUUUAAAGGGUGCGUAGGCGGAUUAAUUAGUCAGUGGUGAAAUCUUUCGGCUCAACCGAGAAACUGCCAUUGAUACUGUUAAUCUUGAGUUCGGUUGAGGUAGGCGGAAUGUGUAAUGUAGCGGUGAAAUGCUUAGAUAUUACACAGAACACCAAUUGCGUAGGCAGCUUACUAGACCGACACUGACGCUGAGGCACGAAAGCGUGGGGAGCGAACAGGAUUAGAUACCCUGGUAGUCCACGCCGUAAACUAUGAUUACUCGUUGUUGGCGAUACACAGUCAGCGACCAAGCGAAAGCGAUAAGUAAUCCACCUGGGGAGUACGCUCGCAAGAGUGAAACUCAAAGGAAUUGACGGGGGCCCGCACAAGCGGUGGAACAUGUGGUUUAAUUCGAUGAUACGCGAGGAACCUUACCUGGCUUAAAUGUAGAGUGCAUAAUCGGGAAACUGAUUUUUCCUUCGGGACUCUUUACAAGGUGCUGCAUGGUUGUCGUCAGCUCGUGCCGUGAGGUGUCGGGUUAAGUCCCAUAACGAGCGCAACCCUUAUCAUUAGUUGCCAUCGGGUCAUGCCGGGGACUCUAAUGAAACUGCCACCGUAAGGUGAGAGGAAGGUGGGGAUGACGUCAAAUCAGCACGGCCCUUAUGUCCAGGGCUACACACGUGUUACAAUGGUCGAUACAGAGGGCAGCUACCUGGUGACAGGAUGCCAAUCUCGAAAGUCGGUCCAAGUUCGGAUCGAAGUCUGCAACUCGACUUCGUGAAGCUGGAAUCGCUAGUAAUCGCAUAUCAGCCAUGAUGCGGUGAAUACGUUCCCGGGCCUUGUACACACCGCCCGUCAAGCCAUGGAAGCUGGGGGUGCCUGAAGUACGUAACCGCAAGGAGCGUCCUAGGGUAAAACUAGUGACUGGGGCUAAGUCGUAACAAGGUA